rnacentral:rRNA from 1 species
UACGUAGGAUGCGAGCGUUAUCCGGAUUUAUUGGGUUUAAAGGGUGCGUAGGCGGAUCGUUAAGUCAGUGGUCAAAUUGAGGGGCUCAACCCCUUCCCGCCAUUGAAACUGGCGAUCUUGAGUGGAAGAGAAGUAUGCGGAAUGCGUGGUGUAGCGGUGAAAUGCAUAGGUAUCACGCAGAACCCCGAUUGCGAAGGCAGCAUGCCGGCUUCCUACUGACGCUGAGGCACGAAAGCGUGGGGAGCAAAUAGG